UCUCCUAUAGCUCAGUUUGGUAGAGCGUGCCGGCUGUUAAUCCUCAAGGUCGCUGGGCUCAAACCCAGCUGGGGAGAG